AGCUUUCAUUGUUUGGCAUUAUGUUUACAUUUGCACAUGUGAAAUUAUCGAUUGUCUUCUAGGCAGUACAUUCACUUAACACCAAGCGCUUCUUGUAGCCAUUAGUUGAUCCAGUAUUCUUUUAGCCUAGUUUAGAUUGUAUGUGGUGCUCAGGCGGUGGAUCCAGGGUGUUCUUGAUGGGUGUUAAAAAACUAAGCUCAAUAGUGUAUUAGGCAUCUGGGGAUUUAAUUAUGCAUGUUAGGAUAUCUAUCAGUCUAGCUCAUGUGCCCGAAAAAAUUUGGAGGUUCAAUUAAACCCUGCAUCUCAAGGCAGAUUUGCCCCUGAUUGUGUGGUAACAUUAUAGGGGCUGCUCUGUUUCUUAGUUGAUACAAGUGGAUUGUCAUAUGAAUCAAGAACUGUUUGCCCAAGAUAUAGAGAGUGACUUUAACCUAGCAACCAAAUAAUCUUUGAUGGGAAUGGAUUGAAAAUAAUGUUUGCAUCCAACGAGGCUCAUCACAUUGAAAUAUGCCAGCAAACUAAACCUGUUCUAUGAGCUGAAAGCAUCGAUGUUGUACGCAAGAUUUGGUAGGAUUCUGUUUCCUCACCUUUUCUGAUGAAUUAUCAUGUUACUCUGCAGGCAAGAGGUGCUUCAAUUGGAUAAUGAAAUUGUUUUCAAUGAAGCUAUCAUCGAGGAAAGGGAGCAAGCUAUUCGAGAGAUCCAGCAACAGAUUGGUGAAGUACAUGAGGUGUUCGAGGAUCUUGCUACACUCGUGCAUACCCAAGGAGUUACAAUUGGCAAGUUUUACACUGUGUUAUACAUAUUUUGUACUGUUCUUUGGCUUCCUAGCUAAUGUGCACAUGUUAGGUUUCAGAGGAAAUCGACACGAACAUUGAAAAUUCUGUGGCGGCGACCAAAGAGUCAAAGACAGAAGUCGCCAAAGCAGACAAGACCCAGAAAUCAAAUUCAUCCCUGCUUUGCUUGCUUAUGGUAAUCUUUGGGGUCGUGCUGCUUGUUGUGAUAAUAGUUUUGGCAGCUUGAGACACGCAAUAUUUCAUCUUACGAGUCUGGAAGUUACUCUGUGGAGUUGAUUUCAUCUCUGAAAAGGCAUCGUGUUGUGUGCUAAAAACUAUCUAACAGCGGAGUUUUGGAACUUUCUCUUUUACGUUUUGUGAUUUGUGAGUGCACGUUCCCAUGUCAUGCGUGAGUUCUUUUUUCAUGGCUUGCCUUGAGUGAACAGUGAUGCUCUUUUGCUCCUUUGGAUUUUGGAAGUUUGCUUGAGUGAGAAACUUUGACAUUCUGUAAGUAUUUCUGUCGAAUAAAGCAAAACGAUGAUUCGUCAA